GAUCAAAUCAAGCGCGAGAAGGGCGUUUGGUGGAUGCCUUGGCAGUAAGAGGCGAUGAAGGACGUGAUACUCUGCGAUAAGUCCUGGGGAGCUGAGAAUAAGCUUUGAUCCAGGAAUUUCCGAAUGGGGCAACCCACCUGAAAGUUCAUUAUAAUUACUUCGGUAGUUUAUAAUGUUCUUAAACAGGUACUUUUAACCUGAAUACAUAGGGUUUUAAGAGCAAACCCGGGGAACUGAAACAUCUAAGUACCCGGAGGAAAGGACAUCAAUAGAGACUCCCCUAGUAGCGGCGAGCGAACGGGGACCAGCCGAACUCUGAGAGUGACUGGAAUGGUCUGGAAAGGCCAACCAUAGCGGGUGACAGUCCCGUACAGGAAGCUCGAUGAGACGUAUCAAGUAGGGCGGGACACGUGAAAUCCUGUCUGAAGAUCGGAGGACCACCUCCGAAGGCUAAGUACUCCUUACUGACCGAUAGCGAACCAGUACCGUGAGGGAAAGGUGAAAAGCACCCCGACGAGGGGAGUGAAACAGUACCUGAAACCGAACGCCUACAAUCAGUCGGAGCU
rnacentral:rRNA from 1 species